rnacentral:rRNA from 1 species
GGUUGAUCCUGCCAGUAGUCAUAUGCUUGUCUCAAAGAUUAAGCCAUGCAAGUCUAAGUAUAAAUGAAUUUAACAGUGAAACUGCGGAUGGCUCAUUAAAUCAGUUAUAGUUUAUUUGACAAACUAAUUUUACUCGGAUAACUGUAGUAAAUCUAGAGCUAAUACGUGCGAAAAGGUCUGAAGUAUCAUUGAUACAGACGACUGCAUUUAUUAGAUUAAAACCAUUUGUUUUUCUUUUCAAGUGCGAAUGAAAACAAGCGUGCGAAUAAUGUUUUCUUGUCGAAAUAAAAC